UUCAAACCGAUGAAAAUCACAACUCUAGUCCCGAACAAACCAUAGCCAAACAAACUCACAAUGAGAAGCGUAAUUUUAAUUUUUACUUGUGUUGCUAUAAUAGCAUCAGUAGCCGCUGAAGCAAUGUUACCCUGUGUAGCUUGUUCUCGAGAAGUGGAUCCUGUGUGUGCAACGCCGACCGCUGACAAUGCAAACGGUGGACCACCGAGAACGUUUGACAGCCCUUGCUUAGUACAGGCCGCCGAUUGUGGUUAUUCAAAGCAUCAAUAUACUAUUACACACAAAGGGAAAUGUGAUUAGGCGAUAAUGAAAGUUAGUGAUGCAUGGUGUAAUCGUGUUUUUUAACUGUAAUUAUGUUAAUUAUGUAAUGAAAAUAAAUUUGAAAUAUGCAGAAA